UACGGAGGGUGCAAGCGUUGUCCGGAUUUAUUGGGCGUAAAGCGAGCGCAGGCGGAAAGAUAAGUCUGAUGUGAAAGCCCCCGGCUUAACCGAGGAAUUGCAUCGGAAACUGUGUUUCUUGAGUGCAGAAGAGGAGAGUGGAACUCCAUGUGUAGCGGUGGAAUGCGUAGAGAUCGGGAGGAACACCAGUGGCGAAGGCGGCCUACUGGGCUUUAACUGACGCUGAGGCACGAAAGCAUGGGUAGCAAACAGG
rnacentral:rRNA from 1 species